GAAGGUAUAGCUCAAGUGGCAGAGUGCGUGCUUAGCAUGCUUGAGGUCCUGGGUUCAAUCCCCAGUACCUCCU
rnacentral:tRNA from 1 species